GUGGAGCUCCAGCUGGAGCUACCAGAAGACUUCUGAAAACUUUGUUUUGGAAGAAACAAAGCUCUUAUUGUGAAAGUCUGCUUCCUGACAGGUGGAGCUGUGACGCAUCAGGAAACAACUCAUGUGAGUCAUGUGAGUUGUUUCCUGUCGACAUUUUGGACUGUUUGAAGAAACUGACCCAUCAGAGACCAGACCCUGCUGGACCUGAACCUGAA